rnacentral:RNase_P_RNA from 1 species
GCAGCAGGACGCGAAGUGUCGCUUGCCGUGGGUCAGCCCCGCGGGGAGAUCCUUAAAGAGGCGGCAAGAGGAAAGUCCGGGCAACGCAGAGCACCAUACUGUCUAACGGACAGCUAUCGGCGACGGUAGAGUAGCGUGACAGAGAAUGACUGCCUCCCGCAUCAUGAAAAGUGAGUCGGAAGGUGAGGGUGAAAAGGUGGGGUAAGAGCCCACCGGGUGUCGUGGCGACACGGCAUGCCGCACGUCUUAUGGGUUGCAAGGCCAUGUAUACCGGCGCGCCGUGAAAUCCGCGUGAGCGGAUGCGGCAAUGGGCUGCUCGUCCAUAGCCGAGGGGUAGGCUGCUUGAGUGGUCUCCGGAUCACCGAUUAGAUAAAUGACGCUUCCGGAGUGUCAACCCUGAGCCGGCAGUUGAGAAACCCCGGCACAAGGAAGUGGCACGCCGACAUAACCCGGCUUACAGGCCUGCUGCUUUU